GUUGGAAUCACAGACAAGAAGUCCUGCUUGCAAGUCCCUCGGUUUAUGCUCAACUGGACAGGUUAGCAUAUCGAUGAAAAGCGCAGCUUUUUGAUAAAAUACCAAGAAAGAUUCUUCAAGACAAGUGUGAUUAUCUGUCAGUAGUAUUCUUCCAGUGUUCAGCAUCUUCUUGGAGAACGUUAUAGAAGACUCAUCCGUAAUCCACAUCAUUAAGAUAUAAACAAACGAGAUGAUCACUCCUCUUUUUUUGUUUUCCUUCACACUUGGAAUUCAUCAACAAGUGCAAGCUUGUGGUGGUGAAUAUAAUGCUUCGUACGGUUCCAUUACGUCACCAUUGUACCCGAGUCAGUACCCGCCUGAUCAGGACUGUGUUUACAUCAUCAGAGCACCAACAGGAUAUCGGAUCACCUUGACAUUUCUAAGCUUUGAGCUGGCAGCUGAUAUUAUUGACUGUAAGCAGGACUAUCUACAGAUUAGAGAUGGCGGCUCAGGGACG